rnacentral:tRNA from 1 species
GCCCAGGUGGCGAAAUUGGUAGACGCGCCAGCUUGAGGGGCUGGUGUUCGCAAGAAUGUGCUGGUUCGACUCCAGUCCUGGGCACUA